CCUACGGGGGGCAGCAGUGAGGAAUAUUGGUCAAUGGGCGCGAGCCUGAACCAGCCAAGUCGCGUGAGGGAUGACUGCCCUAUGGGUUGUAAACUUCUUUUGUAAGGGAGCAAAGUCAGCCACGUGUGCCUUUUUGAAAGUACCUUAUGAAUAAGCAUCGGCUAACUCCGUGCCAGCAGCCGCGGUAAUACGGAGGAUACGAGCGUUAUCCGGAUUUAUUGGGUUUAAAGGGUGCGGAGGCGGGUUGUUAAGUCAGUUGGGAAAGUCUGGGGCUCAACCGUAGUAUUGCAGUUGAUACUGGCAGCCUUGAGUGCAGUAGAGGUAGGCGGAAUGCGUGGUGUAGCGGUGAAAUGCAGAGAUAUCACGAAGAACUCCGAUUGCGAAGGCAGCCUACU
rnacentral:rRNA from 1 species